rnacentral:rRNA from 1 species
AGCAACGCCGCGUGAAGGAAGAAGGCCUUCGGGUUGUAAACUUCUUUGAUUAGGGACGAAGGAAGUGACGGUACCCAAAGAACAAGCCCCGGCUAACUACGUGCCAGCAGCCGCGGUAAUACGUAGGUGGCGAGCGUUGUCCGGAAUUACUGGGUGUAAAGGGCGCGUAGGCGGGGAUGCAAGUCAGAUGUGAAAUUCCGGGGCUUAACCCCGGGGCUGCAUCUGAAACUGUAUUUCUUGAGUGCUGGAGAGGAAAGCGGAAUUCCUAGUGUAGCGGUGAAAUGCGUAGAUAUUAGGAGGAACACCAGUGGCGAAGGCGGCUUUCUGGACAGUAACUGACGCUGAGGCGCGAAAGCGUGGGGAGCAAACAGGAUUAGAUACCCUGGUAGUCCACGCCGUAAACGAUGGAUACUAGGUGUAGGAGGUAUCGACCCCUUCUGUGCCGCGAGU